GACGAACGCUGGCGGCGUGCCUAAUACAUGCAAGUCGAACGCAGUGGGGACGGGUGCGUAACACGUGGGUAACCUCCCAUCUGAGUGGAUAACCCUUGGAAACAGGUGCUAAACCGAUACUGAUGGAUGGACCCGCGGUGCAUUAGCUAGUUGGUGAGGUAACGGCUCACCAAGGCCACGAUGCAUAGCCGACCGGAGAGGGGUAUAGGCCAAACUGGGACUGAGAAACGGCCCAGACUCCUACGGGAGGCAGCAGUAGGGAAUAUUGGGGAAUGGGCGAAAGGCUGACCGAGCAACGCCGCGUGAGUGAAGAAGGUUUUCGGAUCGUAAAACUCUGUUGGUAGGGAAGCGGUAUCUAACCAGAAAGCCACGGCUAACUACGUGCCAGCCGCCGCGGUAAUUC
rnacentral:rRNA from 1 species